GAUGAACGCUAGCGGCAGGCCUAAUACAUGCAAGUCGAACGGGAUUAAGAGGCUUGCUUCUUAUGAGAGUGGCGCACGGGUGCGAAACACGUAUGCAACCUACCUUCAACAGGGGGAUAGCCUUCCGAAAGGGAGAUUAAUACCGCAUAAUAUAAUUGAACGGCAUCGUUUGAUUAUCAAACUUACAAGGGUUGAAGAUGGGCAUGCGUCCGAUUAGGUAGUUGGUGAGUUAACGGCUCACCAAGGCAUCGAUCGGUAGGGGAUCUGAGAGGAUGACCCCCCAUACUGUUACUUGGGCACGGACCAGACUCCUACAGGAGGCAGCAGUAAGGAAUAUUGUUCAAUGGACGCAAGUCUGAACCAGCCAUGCCGCGUGCAGGAAGACGGUCCUCUGGAUUGUACACUGCUUUUGUUAGGGAAGAAACCCUCGGUUGCGAUCGAGGCUGACGGUACCUAAAGAAUAAGGAUCGGCUAACUCCGUGCCAGCCGCCGCCGUAACAC
rnacentral:rRNA from 1 species